GGGUUCCUGGGACAGCCCAUUUAAUUUCUCCUUUUGUUGGCUGGGUCCUAGCCAUCCUCUCUUCUCCAGGCCCCUCCUCAAAUAUAUCGCACCAGCUGGGGAGCUGCCCCGCCCCUAAUUAUUACCCCAGGGCUGCCAAGAUGCAGGCCCCAGCACUGCAGAGGAUGGCACCAGAGCCCAGAACAUGACAACAGCAGCAGCAGGUGGGCCUGAAAGAAAAGGCCAGAUUAUCGUCUCUGUGAUUACUGUCAUCCAUCUCCAGCCAGCAGGCAGCAGAGCAUAUUUCGUGUGGGGCCUCGGUGCGCCGCACUUUUGGGGCUGCCACCGCCUCCCACCCCUUCUCUGCUGAGCAGACCAGAGGCUGAGGUUUUUCUGGGCAGAAAGGUGUGCCUGGAACAUAUGCUUGCUUCUAGCUACAGAUGUAGCGUCACUUAGCCCAGAGCAGUAGAACCCCAAUGGAAGCUGUGUGCCUGAGUGUUUCUGGGUCAGUUUAGUGCCCCACGCUUCCCCCCGGGGCUUCUCUGGACAGAAGCUGACAGCAGGGCUCUGGCCUUUGGCCUGUUACAGAAAACGGCAGCACAACCGUUUCAAAGCAAAAUCUCCAUAGACCCUUAUGUAACAGGGUUUCCAGAUGGCUCUUCUAGUUGCCCUCAUUGAAUGCGACCAAGAUGAGAUGAGGAAUCUCCUUAGCUCCUGAAACCAUGGACAGCCCAAGCUCAAGAUGUGGUUUGACCUGUACAGAGGACAGGAGACUGUUGUCUCCCCCACCUGGAUACCACAGCCCACCAUGAAGGCGACCCAGGUCGAGGUCAGACUGUCAUUACUGGUGUAGAAGAGAUAUGAACAUCCUCUUUGUGGGCUACAAUGGAAGAAUGCUGCUCUGCCCCUCACCACACUACCUCUAAGUACAAAUGCUGGACGGUCCUGCACUUCUCCAGCACCUACUACAAAAGGAACUCGGGGAGACAUCACACUAUGACCCAACCUGUUCAGCCACCUCCAUGCCGUGGUUCUGAAAUGAAUGAUUUCAGGCAGCCAGCCCAGACCGACCUCCAUAAAGAGGAGAGGCAACUCGUGUAAAGAGGUGGAAAAUCAGCUUGUAAUUAAGAACACAGUCUGCAAAAUUAGGCAAAGGGGUUCAAAUCCAGCUCUGGCACUUUCCAGCUGUGAGAUCUUGGGGAAGUUACUUCAGGACUUUGUGUCUCAGUUUCAAUAACCAUGAAACAGCAAUGUUAACAGAAUCUAACUCCUAGAGUUAUUUGUGAAGAUUAUCCAAGUUAAUAUAUAUA